rnacentral:rRNA from 1 species
UACGUAGGGGGCAAGCGUUGUCCGGAAUUAUUGGGCGUAAAGAGCGCGUAGGCGGUCCGAUAAGUCGGCUGUGAAAGUCAGGGGCUCAACCCCUGAAUGCCGGCCGAUACUGUCGGGCUAGAGUCCGGAAGAGGCGAGUGGAAUUCCCGGUGUAGCGGUGAAAUGCGCAGAUAUCAGGAGGAACACCAAUUGCGAAGGCAGCUCGCUGGGACGUUACUGACGCUGAGACGCGAAAGCGUGGGGGAGCGAACAGG